UACGAAGGGGGCUAGCGUUGUUCGGAAUUACUGGGCGUAAAGAGCUCGUAGGCGGUUCGGCAAGUCAGCUGUGAAAUCUCCACGCUCAACGUGGAGGGGUCAGCUGAUACUGCUGUGACUCGAGUCCGGUAGGGGAGUGUGGAAUUCCCGGUGUAGCGGUGAAAUGCGCAGAUAUCAGGAGGAACACCGGUGGCGAAGGCGGGUCUCUGGGCCGAUACUGACGCUGAGGAGCGAAAGCGUGGGGAGCAAACAGG
rnacentral:rRNA from 1 species